rnacentral:rRNA from 1 species
GACGAACGCUGGCGGCGUGCUUAACACAUGCAAGUCGAACGGAGUGGCGAACGGGUGAGUAACACGUGGGUGAUCUGCCUUGCACUUCGGGAUAAGCUUGGGAAACCGGGUCUAAUACCGGAUAGUGCAAGAUGAGCCCGCGGCCCAUCAUCUUGUUGGUGGGGUAAUGGCAUACCAAGGCGUCGACGGGUCGCCGGCCUGAGAGGGUGUACGGCCACAUUGGGACUGAGAUACGGCCCAGACACCUACGGGAGGGAGCAGUGGGGAAUAUUGCACAAUGGGCGGAAGCCUGAUGCAGCGACGCCGCGUGGGGGAUGAAGGGCUUCGGGUUGUAAACUCCUGUCGACAGGGACGCGGUACCUGGAUAAGAAGCACCGGCUAACUACGUGCCAGCAGCCGCGGUAAUAC